GACGAACGCUGGCGGCGUGCUUAACACAUGCAAGUCGAACGAAGUGGCGAACGGGUGAGUAACGCGUAAUCAACCUGCCGUUCAGAGGGGGAAAACAGUGGGAAACGACUGCUAAUACCGCAUACGGAAGGAGGGGAUUGCGUCUGAUUAGCUAGUUGGAGGGGUAACGGCCCACGAAGGCGAUGAUCAGUAGCCGGGCUGGGAGGGUGAACGGCCAAAAUGGGACUUGGACACGGCCCAGACUCCUACGGGGGGCAGCAGGGGGGAAUCUUCCGCAAUGGACGAAAGUCUGACGGAGCAACGCCGCGUGAGUGAUGACGGCCUUCGGGUUGUAAAGCUCUGUUAAUCGGGACGCGGUACCGGAAUAGAAAGCCACGGCUAACUACGUGCCAGCAGCCGCGGUAAUUC
rnacentral:rRNA from 1 species